rnacentral:rRNA from 1 species
AUUGAACGCUGGCGGCAGGCCUAACACAUGCAAGUCGAACGAGUGGCGGACGGGUGAGUAAUGUCUGGGAACCUGCCUGAUGGAGGGGGAUAACUACUGGAAACGGUAGCUAAUACCGCAUACCAUCAGAUGUGCCCAGAUGGGAUUAGCUAGUUGGUGGGGUAACGGCUCACCAAGGCGCAGAUCCCUAGCUGGUCUGAGAGGCUGAACAUCCACACUGGAACUGAGACACGGUCCAGACUCCUACGUGCGGCCGCAGUGGGGAAUAUUGCACAGUGGGCGCAAGCCUGAUUCAGCCAUGCGGCGUGUAUGAAGAAGGCCUUCUGGUUGUAAAGUACUGGCAGCGGGGAGGCGUUACCCGCAGAAGAAGCCCCGGCUAACUCCGUGCCAGCAGCCGCGGGAAUAC